GUACUGCUGAGGAGUCCUAUAUUAGGGCGAAACAGCUGUCCAGUGC
rnacentral:hammerhead_ribozyme from 1 species